rnacentral:lncRNA from 1 species
GGAAAGUCGCGUACUACCGAGAUGCUCUUGAUGUCCUUCAGUUCUUGACUUGUAUCGACGAUGUGCGCUAGGAAUGCUCGACAAUCCUUCCGCAAGCACUUUCGAGCUUGGAUGCACGAAAUGAUGCGAAGGUUUGCACUAGAUUUGUCGCCGUAGAUAACUAAUGUUUCGUUGUUAGGGAGGUUAAGACGGACUGCUUUCUCAAAGCACAUGAUGUCGGCGCGAAGAAGACUCAACCAAUCCAUGCCGACUAUGACGUCGAAACUUUUAAUUUGAACCGGCAUGAGAUUGAUUGGGAAAGAAUGGCCGUCUAAUGUUAACGUACAGCCCAUGUAUAUGCAAUUUGUGUUUUCGGUUUUUCCAUUGGCCAUCUCUACAGUGAAUGAUUUUUCUAACUUGCUAGGUUUAGGUUUAAGUAAAUGAAUAAAGUUUUGACUCACGAAGCUUCUCUCCGCUCCACUAUCGAAUAAUAUGCAUGCGUAUGAAUUAUCGAGAAGGAACGUACCAGCAACUAUAGUUGGGUCAGCUACAGCUUCGUCGUGGCCUAUUGCCAAAACUCGUCCCACACCUCCGGUGCCUGCUGCCUUAGGACAGUUUCUCUUGUAGUGGCCCACCUCGCCACAACCGUAGCAAGCCUGCCCUACACCCGCACCGGGAACUUGAGUGAUCGGCUUUGCGGGUUCCUUGCAGAAACGGGCUGUGUGUCCUUUCCUGCUGCAGUUGGCGCACUGCAUAUCUCGACAAGGUCCAUGGUGGUGGUAAUUGCAUUUGGUGCAUUUUGGGAGGUUGCCUAUAUAAGGCUUUGUUGGGUAGGUAUUUGUAGGGGCUGUAGCAGGUACAAUGGCAGCAUUUACUGACACCAGUUGUUUCUUUGCGGAUUCUUGGGAAGACCCACCCUUCCCUUUAAUCCACGCUCUCUUCCUGCCAUUGUUGUUGUUGUUGUUGUUGUUGUUGUUGUUGUUGUUUCCUUUCUGUGGUGCUGGUGCAGAAGUGGUUGAGUUCUGAUGACCUCCGUAGUCGAUCAGAGAUUGUGCCAGUUCCUUAGCACUUUCAAAGGUGUCAGGUUUAGAAGCUAACACGCUUGAUCGCAUUUGGGGCGUCAGUCCCCAGAUGUACCUUUCUAUCUUCUUGCUCUCGGGAGCAAUCAUAUCUGGACAAAGGAUUGCCAGUUCGCAGAAUCUGUUGGUAUAAGUAGCGAUGUCGGUACCCACCAUUCCGAGAGUCCAUAGCUCGUGUUCAAGCUUUUGAAUUUCUCCCCGUGGGCAGUAUUCUCUCAUCAUCAUGGCCUUCAAGCUCUCCCAGCUUAUGGAGUUUGCCACGAUUAGGGUAAGUACUUUAACGUGGCCAUUCCACCAAGUUAAAGCUUUAUCGAGAAGGGUGAAAGUUGCAAAUUUGACCUUGCUGUGCUCGGGGCAGGAGCAGAUUUCAAAGACUGCCUCCGUCCUUUCAAUCCACUGCCUCAGGGCCAUCACACCACCAGUACCAUAAAACAUCCGGGGCUUGGCAUUAGUGAAGUCCUUAUAGGUGCAUUCUCGAGGUGGUCCAUGACUCUCGCCAUGGUUGGAUAGGUGUGUGCCAGAUCCCGAGCCAUUAGUACUCGAGUUAUUGAUCUGUGACAUGGCAGCUGCCACCGCUGCGGUGACUGCUGCUUGAAACAUUACAGCAUCAAAUUGGGGUGGUGGAGGUGGUGGUGGUAUAGGUGCUUCCUCACCGUUGUUUCGCCUUGGAUUCCUACGCGGAGGCAUCCUUCAACUAUAGAUUGAAAAGACAAGGAUAAGAAUUUCAUAGAAUGGAAAAUGUAUGUGUCUCAUGAACUAAAUCGCUAUAGUUCAACAACAGAUGAUAGUAUGAGUCUUAAAAUAGAAGAAUGAAAGUUAUUUGUAAGACUGAAGGUAUGAAACAAGUAUUUGGGUUCACAAAGACCAUUCAAGGUUCGAACGAAAUACUCAACAUAGUAGUAAUAGUGCCACUUAUAUUAAUAUAAAAGUUGUUACAACGAUCAUGAAAAUUUGACCCCUAUAAGGGUCUCCGAUUACAAAGUUCGAGAAAUUUAAAGACUUUUAGCCGAGGUCCUAAGCUAUAACAAAAUUUGAGUCCUUGACAAGCACUACUUGCGUCGAAGGUUGCGCUUGGAGCUUGACUCCGUAUCUGAUUGCUUUGACUCCAUUAGACGCCUAUCGAAAGCGGCUUGUUGUUCCCUUAGUUCGGCGAGGGCUGCAAUCAUUUGCGCUUGAAACGCUUCGGUUUGGAAUUGAGCGUUGUCUUGCAUCUUGUCCAGCCUACGGAUGUCAGAAGUGUGAACCUGCACUUCCACGUUGAUAUCCCGGAGUCGACUAGCUUGUACUCCAGACUGAUAGGACUGAUUGGCUAACUUACCCACCAUUACCGGGAGUGCUCGAUCAGCCGAACCUCCGCCGCGGACAUCAUAGAAGUCCCGGCACAUGCCGUAGGGAGGGCGUAGGUUUUGCUGUUGGCUCCAAUGGUGGAGGUGACUUCCCCAGACGGGAGUCGGUCCUUGAAAGUUCCUUACGAAGACGGGAGGUUGAAUGGGUGGUGGAUCGAUAACUUCCGGCUCUGAGUCGGUACCGGAGUCAUCACCCACUUCUAUGGGUUCCUCGUCCUCUUCGGGAUCAUCUUCGAUCCAUCCUCCGUUGCCUUGGUUGGGAAAGUAGGGGUCGCCAGGGUGGUGAAAUCCAGCCAUUUGACUGUACGAGAAAUAGGGUUAUAAGAAUUGAAUAAAGUCGGAACAUGUAAAACAUGUAAGUUAAACUAGUUUAGAUAGCAAAUACUCCUAUAGUAUUUAAAUUCUUGUGUUUGAUUCUUGUAAUGGUUUGGUAAGUUUUGACUUGUUGCUUACUACGAUCAUUCCUCGAUAUACGUUGGUCCAAUCUUGGGCAAAUAUAGUUGAUCACGCUAUAUUUGUCCAAAAUCUGAUUACAUAUAUCGAGUCUCAAUCGUAGUGUCAACUUGUCUAAAUACUUGUAUAGUUGUAUAACAUGAAAAUAGUUUGUGGUAUGCAUGUAAUUGUACUUAAAUGAACUAUCAAUUUAAGUUGAACGAAAUGCUGCUUAAGUGUAAAAAGAAAAUUUGUUUUGUCAGAGAGUAUUAGUCCCUUAAGCAUUUAUAGUUUGUAUAUCUUAUGUGGUUCGAUAUACUUAGUUCACUAUAAACAUUGCUCUGAUACCAAUCUGUCACACCCCCAAACCUGAACGGCGGAAACGUUCGGGGGCGGAUGACUUCAUGUGGUAACGUAACAAAUGAAUACAUAGUAAAGAAAGCAAUACAACCAUCAUAUAUAUAAUUGAAAGUUUACAUUUGUCAAAAGUUACAUGUUCAAAACUCAAUUACAAUAUGAUGUCAAAAUACGAGAUUAAACUGGCGCCGCAGCAUCCCUUCAUCAAAAGCGAAAUGAAUACCUGAAAUUACUGAUUUCCUGGGACAUACAAGUAAUUUUGAAAGAGUAGAUCAGCAUUUAAGCUGGUGAAUUUCAUAAGUAUUUAAGUGACAAUGUUUGAAUGAAAUGAAAUGUUUUAUCUUUGUUUGUUUGUGUUUAGAAAAUCCUAUAUUUUCUACUAGUAUAAAAGUAGCCUUCACUCAAGACCAAUGUUUGUUUCCAAAAUGUAUGUAAAUGUAAAAUAACCAAUGAGUUUGAAAACCUUGUAAAUCAAUGCAUUUUUAAUACCCCUUGUGAGUUUUAUAACCAUACUAUUGACUCUGAAUGCCUAUACACAACGUUCUUCAGGCGUUGGAAUGUUAUGACGUUUGUCACCCCAAACGGUGGACUGCAGCUAACAGUCAGGGCGCGGGUUGUCAAGCCCGUAUAGAUCUAUACACAAACACCAUGCUCCCCCUCCAAGGGAUUCUGGUAUAUAAUACAGGACUUGAAAUGUGUACUCGAACGUACAUGAAGUUAGUGUCUCACAAAUCCGUGGUAUAAAAACAGAUCUACUUGUUAAAAUGUUACGUUUGUUCUUGUAUACGAAAGUAAACUUCUUGAAAUAUGUGUUUCUAGUACAUAAGAGUUAGAAAUCUGUUCGUAAAACUAUACCUAUUAUAGUUUCCAAAAAGCGUGUCUUGUUUGUUUAGAAAUAUUGAGAAAAGGAAUCACUUGUUUAUGAAAGUAUAGAUUUUUGGUGUAGAGUCUAGGAUAGACAAGAAAAAUCUAAGAACAGUUUAGUUUAUACAUGCAUUACAACAACAUUAUAUUUUAAAAGGUAAAAUGCUAUUGUGACAUAUGUUAUAUAUAUAUAAAAGUUCCUUUAAAUGUUUAUAAAUCGCAUGUGAUUUGAAUAUAUAACAGUAUAUAAAAGAGUUUCUUUAUGUAACACACGAUAAUACUCGUGUGUUUUACUUGUAAUCCCCCCCUUGAAAGCAUAUAAAAGUAUUUAGAAUAAUUAAAAAGGUUGAUUAAGGGGUAUGAAACUCACUUGAAAGUUUUGGAGAUAGCGAGAUGGAAAACCGGGCAGAGUUUCGUCUCGGGAAACGGAUUUUCCUCGGGAUUCUCGGGAAUCUCGGGAGUAAAAUCGACCUUCGGGACUUGAGCCAAAAAGACCAGAGCUUCGGGUUUGAACGGACACGGAAAACGAGGCAAAGUUGAGAGAGAGAGAAGAGAAAUGAACCCUUUCUUUGGAAACCCUCGCAUCCUAUUUAUAGUAAGGCUGGUCUGCCUCGGUACGCGGGGCGUACGCUCGUACGCAGCGCGUACGCGUACGUCAUGCAUGACCGAAGCCUCGACUGCCUCGGUUCGGAUGGGACGGGUUGCUGGGUACGCGGGUCGGAUGGGACGCCGGGUCGGAUGGGACGUCGGGUCGGACGGGUCGGGGCUUCGGACGGGUCGGAUGGGUCGGUUUCUUCGGAUAGCGCGACGUGGACGAUCAGAGGCCAAUCCUCUCGGUUACGCGGGGCGUACAGGGGUACGCAGCGCGUACCUCGGAGGAGGAUGCUGACUCCCCUUCGGAUAAUAUCCGAAUUUUGAAUUAAAUAAAUAAUUAAUUUAUUUAAUAAACUUCAAAAAUUCAUAUCUUCUUCAUACGAACUCCGUUUUCGAUGGUCUUUAUAUCCUCGCGUAGGUGAGACUACGCUCUACAACUUUCGUUUAGACUCCGUCGGCAAAUUCCAAAAUUAUAUUUUUAUUAUUUAUUAAAAACCCAUCGUGUUUAAGGAAUUUCUUUGAAAAUUCAUAACUUCUUUAUCUGAUGUCGGUUUUUGCCAGACUUUUUACCGCUGGAAUACCAUUGUCGAGACCUUCGAUUCUCGUUUAGGUCAUUCCGGCCAAAAGUCGCUCGAUCUCCGAUUCGAGUUUUUAGCUGUCUGUUGCUAAGCCGAACUUGGAAAAAUCAUAACUUCGCUAUAUGAAGUCGGAUUUGGGCGUUCUUUUCACGUACGAUCAUGGUUCAAAGACAUUUAAUCAUAGAAGGAAAUUAAGUAGAACUUAUUUAUACAUUUUAUUAUGAAAGUAACUUUUUAUUAUUCAGAAGUGGUUACAAUACUUGACCCAUUUUGGUCGUUACAAAGAGUUGAAAUAUCGGGUUGUCACAUCAUCCCCCCGUUAGAGAGAAUUUCGUCCCGAAAUUUAAAGUAGUAAAGAUACUAGUGAACAUGAAAGAGAUGAGGGUACUUUUGUUUCAUCUGAUCUUCGCGUUCCCAUGUGAAUUCAGGUCCCCGCUUGGCGUUCCAGCGAACCUUCACGAUGGGUAUGCGACUUUGUUUUGUUUGUUUGACCUCUCGGUCCAUGAUUUCUACUGGUUCUUCCACAAAGUUGAGGCUCUCGUUGAUCUCGAUCUCGUCGAGUGGAAUAACAAGAGUCUCGUCGGACAGACACUUUUUCAAGUUUGAGACGUGGAAGGUUGGAUGGAUGUUACUAAGUUCGCGCGGUAGGUUAAGCUUGUAAGCCACAGGGCCGAUUCUGGCAAGAAUCUCGAAAGGCCCUAUGUAUCUUGGAUUUAGUUUCCCACGCUUUCCAAAUCGUAUUAAACCCUUCCACGGUGAGACCUUUAAUAAGACGUGGUCUCCUACCUGGAAUUCCAAAGGUUUCCUCCUUUGGUCAGCGUAGCUUUUCUGUCGGUCUCUUGAGGCUUUCAAUCGUUCACGAAUCUGAACGAUCUUCUCUGUUGUUUCACGUAUGAUCUCCGGACCGGUGAGAGUGCUUUCAGGAACUCUUCCUCUAGCUAACUGGGUAUCGCCAACUUCAGUCCAGCACAGAGGGGAUCUGCACUUUCGACCAUAGAGGGCUUCAAACGGAGCAGCCUUUAUGCUUGUAUGAUAACUAUUGUUGUAUGAAAAUUCGACAAGGGGUAAAUGAAUAUCCCAUGCCUUUCCAAAGUCAAUCACACAGGCUCUCAGCAUAUCUUCUAAAGUUUGUAUUGUUCUCUCACUUUGUCCGUCUGUUUGUGGGUGGUAGGCUGUACUCAUGUCUAGCCUAGUCCCCAGGGAACUUUGUAGUGACUGCCAGAAUCUUGAAGUGAAUCUACUAUCUCGAUCGGAGAUAAUGGAUAUCGGAACACCAUGCAGUCGCACUACUUCCCUUAAGUAAGUUCUUGUAAGCUUUUCCAUUUUGUCAGUCUCCUUGAUGGGUAGGAAAUGCGCGGAUUUGGUCAAUCUGUCGACAAUGACCCAUAUGGUAUCGAGUCCACUUGUCGUCUUGGGUAACUUGGUUAUGAAGUCCAUAGUAAUCCGCUCCCAUUUCCAUUCUGGUAUCUCUGGUUGUUGUAGUAAUCCUGACGGUUUCUGAUACUCGACCUUAACCUUAGCGCAAGUAAGGCAUUUACUCACGAAGGUAGCAAUUUCUGCUUUCAUGUUAGGCCACCAGUACAGUUUCUUAAGAUCCAGAUACAUUUUAUCUGAACCCGGGUGAACGGAAUACCUUGAGUUGUGAGCUUCGGUCAUGACUACGUUUCUGAAACCACCAUGUUUCGGGGUCCAGAUUCGGUCCAUGAGAUAGUAGGCUCCGCCACCCUUGACUUCUAGAUUCUUUUCCAUUCCUCGCAGGGAUUCACCCGCCACAUUUUCAGGUUGCAAAGCUUCCAUUUGUGCCUCCUUAAUUUGUGUGGAUAAGUGGGAAUGAAUAGUCAUAGUCAGAGAUUUGACCCUCCGACCAGUGUAUUCUUUUCGACUGAGGGCUUCAGCUACCACGUUGGCCUUGCCAGGAUGAUAACGAAUUUCGCAUUCAUAGUCAUUGAGUAACUCAACCCAUCGUCGUUGUCGCAUGUUGAGUUCCUUCUGAUUAAAAAUGUGUUGAAGGCUCUUGUGAUCCAUGAAAAUAGUACUCUUUGUUCCGUAUAAGUAGUGUCUCCAGAUCUUCAGAGCAAAUACUACAGCUCCUAACUCAAGAUCAUGGGUCGUAUAGUUCACUUCGUGUGUCUUAAGCUGUCGGGAGGCAUAAGCAAUAACCUUCCCUCUCUGCAUAAGAACACAACCAAGUCCUUGGUUGGAUGCAUCGCAAUACAAUACGAAAUCUUCUAUCCCUUCGGGCAGGGAUAGUAUCGGUGCGGUGCACAACGCCUGUUUCAGUGAUUGGAAUGCCUUCUCUUGUUUCGCUUCCCAAUCAAAGGCCACGCCUUUCUGGGUUAAUGUAGUAAGAGGUUUCGCAAUGCCAGAGAAGUUCUUUAUGAAUCUGCGAUAGUAGCCAGCUAGACCUAGAAAUUGACGAAUUUAUGUAGGUGUCUUUGGUGCCGACCAGUUCUCAAUGGCCUUAAUUUUGGAGGGGUCCACGUGUAUCUAUUUCUCGCUAAAAACGUGGCCCAAAAAUUCGACUCUUCGAAUCCAAAAUUCACAUUUAGAGAACUUCGCAUAGAGUUUCUCCGAUCGCAGUGUUUCUAGGACUUUUCGUAGGUGCUGACUAUGCUCUUCCUUACUUCGGGAGUAGAUAAUUAUAUCAUCGAUAAAGACGAUGACGAACUGAUCCAAGUAAGGAUGACAUACUCUAUUCAUGAGGUCCAUAAAUACUGCUGGUGCAUUGGUUAAUCCGAACGGCAUCACUACAAAUUCGUAGUUCCCAUAACGAGUUCAGAAAGCUAUCUUGGGAAUAUCCCCCUCUAGUACUCGUAAUUCGUGAUAUCCGGAUCAUAGAUCUAUUUUGGAGAAGUAGUUUGCUCCCUGAAGUUGAUCAAAUAGGUCGUCACUACGGGGUGGAGGAUAACGGUUUUUGACGGUAAGCUUGUUCAGUUCUCUAUAGUCGAUGCACAUGCGGAACGAUCCGUCUUUCUUCUUUACAAACAGGACCGGUGCUCCCCAAGGUGAGAAACUUGGUCUUAUGAAUCCUUUUUGAAGGAGUUCAUUAAGUUGACUGGAAAGGUCUUGCAUCUCUGCUGGUGCGAGACGAUAAGGCGAUUUUGCUACUUGGGUAGCUCCUGGAACUAAGUCAAUUCUAAACUCAACUUGGCGUUGUGGUGGUAAUCCCGGUAGUUCUUCUGGAAAGAUAUCGGGAAAGUUGCGUACUUCUGGAAUCUUCUUGAUGUCCUUCAGUUCCUGACUUGUAUCGACGAUGUGUGCUAGGAAUGCUCGACAAUCCUUCCGUAAACACUUUCGAGCUUGGAUGCACGAAAUGAUGCGAAGGUUGGUACUUUAUUUGUCGCCGUAAAUCACUAAUGUUUUGUUGUUAGGGAGAUUAAGACGAACUGCUUUCUCAAAGCACAUGAUGUCGGUGCGAAGAAGACUCAACCAAUCCAUGCCGACUAUGACGUCGAAACUUUUAAUUUGGACCGGCAUGAGAUUGAUUGGGAAAGAAUGGUCGUCUAAAGUUAACGUACAGCCCAUGUAUAUGCAGUUAGUGUUUUCGGUUUUUCCAUUGGCCAUAUCUACAGUUAAUGAUUUUUCUAACUUGCUAGGUUUAGGUUUAAGUAAGUGAAUAAAGUUUUGACUCACGAAGCUUCUCUCCGCUCCACUAUCGAAUAAUAUGCAUGCAUAUGAAUUAUCGAGAAGGAACGUACCAGCAACUAUAGUUGGGUCAGCUACAGCUUCGUCGUGGCCUAUUGCCAAAACUCGU